rnacentral:misc_RNA from 1 species
GAUGAAGAACGCAGCGAAAUGCGAUAAGUAAUGCGAAUUGCAGAAUUCAGUGAGUCAUCGAAUCUUUGAACGCACAUUGCGCCCUGUGGUAUUCCGCAGGGCAUGCCUGUUCGAGCGUCAUUUCAACCCUCAAGCUCUGCUUGGUGUUGGGCCCUGCCCGCUGCGGCCGGCCCUAAAGACAGUGGCGGUGCCGCCUGGGCCUGAGCGUAGUACAUCUCUCGCUCCAGUGCCCGGUGGUAGCCUGCCAGAACCCCAACUCUCGUGGUUGACCUCGGAUCAGGUAGGGAUACCCGCUGAACUUAAGCAUAUCAAUAAGCGGAGGA